UAGUUUUGUGUCAUGUCUGUGAUCUGCUUUUUUUCUACAAAAUUAAACAACUGAAUGAACAUCCUCCGAGGCCGGUGAUUCCAUAAUUUUUGCCAGGGGUUGUAUAAGUGUGUGUCAUUUCCUAUGGAUGUUACAAUCAGGUCUCGAUGAGGUUGCGAUGUCUGUUGACGCUGGUGUUAUGUAAGCAGGAUGGGAAGAUUCUGAGCCAAAAGGCAAAGGAUGGAGGGUUAAGUGUGAUCUCUGUUUGAGGAAAAAAAAAGAAAAAUCAAUGAGUAGUGGGGCAGCUAUUGUACAGUUGAUUAUGUCCAUAUUUAUUUGUUUGUACAUUGGGUGAAAUAAGAUGUUUUCAAGAUGUACACACAGAAAACAUACACUGUUGUUUGACAUAUAAACCAGUU